ACGGGAGGCAGCAGUGGGGAAUAUUGGGCAUGGGGGAAACCCUGACCCAGCAACGCCGCGUGAAGGAAGAAGGCCUUCGGGUUGUAAACUUCUUUUACCAGGGACGAACAAAAUGACGGUACCUGGAGAAAAAGCAACGGCUAACUACGUGCCAGCAGCCGCGGUAAUACGUAGGUUGCAAGCGUUGUCCGGAUUUACUGGGUGUAAAGGGCGUGUAGGCGGAGCUGCAAGUCAGAUGUGAAAUCCCGGGGCUCAACCCCGGAACUGCAUUUGAAACUGUAGCCCUUGAGUAUCGGAGAGGCAAGCGGAAUUCCUUGUGUAGCGGUGAAAUGCGUAGAUAUAAGGAGGAACACCAGUGGCGAAGGCGGAUUGCUGGACAGUAACUGACGGUGAGGCGCGAAAGUGUGGGGAGCAAACAGGAUUAGAUACCCUGGUA
rnacentral:rRNA from 1 species